rnacentral:rRNA from 1 species
GACGAACGCUGGCGGCGUGCCUAAUACAUGCAAGUAGAACGCUGAAGGAGGAGCUUGCUCUUCUGGAUGAGUUGCGAACGGGUGAGUAACGCGUAGGUAACCUGCCUGGUAGCGGGGGAUAACUAUUGGAAACGAUAGCUAAUACCGCAUAAGAGUAGAUGUUGCAUGACAUUUACUUAAAAGUUGCAAUUGCAUCACUACCAGAUGGACCUGCGUUGUAUUAGCUAGUUGGUGGGGUAACGGCUUACCAAGGCGACGAUACAUAGCCGACCUGAGAGGGGGAUCGGCCACACUGGGACUGAGACACGGCCCAGACUCCUGCGGGAGGCAGCAGUAGGGAAUCUUCGGCAAUGGACGGAAGUCUGACCGAGCAACGCCGCGUGAGUGAAGAAGGUUUUCGGAUCGUAAAGCUCUGUUGUAAGAGAAGAACGAGUGUGAGAGUGGAAAGUUCACACUGUGACGGUAUCUUACCAGAAAGGGACGGCUAACUACGUG